rnacentral:rRNA from 1 species
CAGUGUCUGGUGGGUAGUUUGACUGGGGCGGUCUCCUCCUAAAGAGUAACGGAGGAGCACGAAGGUUGGCUAAUCCUGGUCGGACAUCAGGAGGUUAGUGCAAUGGCAUAAGCCAGCUUGACUGCGAGCGUGACGGCGCGAGCAGGUGCGAAAGCAGGUCAUAGUGAUCCGGUGGUUCUGAAUGGAAGGGCCAUCGCUCAACGGAUAAAAGGUACUCCGGGGAUAACAGGCUGAUACCGCCCAAGAGUUCAUAUCGACGGCGGUGUUUGGCACCUCGAUGUCGGCUCAUCACAUCCUGGGGCUGAAGUAGGUCCCAAGGGUAUGGCUGUUCGCCAUUUAAAGUGGUACGCGAGCUGGGUUUAGAACGUCGUGAGACAGUUCGGUCCCUAUCUGCCGUGGGCGC